rnacentral:lncRNA from 1 species
GACAUCCAGUUGGAGAUUCAUAUUGCAUCUCUCUCCUCUCACAAACAAUAUUACAAAAUUGAGUUACAGGGGCUCUUAAUCUCAUUCAUUAACACUUAACAGGACGACGCCUACUUGGAGAAAAUAAAAAGUGAAAUAAGGAGGAAUCAAAUCCUCAUCUGAAAUAUGGAACAAAUAUGCACCAUAUAUAAGGCCAUAUUAUUCCAGUAUUAUUCUAAAGUAAAAUAUACAAAAUCCUUUGAAAUCCUUAAACCUAAAAUGCUGGAACCACACAUCUCUUUCUUCCUCUUACCUUCUUCUCCCUCUAUCCUCUGCUCACUCUGGCCGAUAGCAGCAGCCAUGCGCUGCCACCAUCUCCGCCCUCUGCCCCUGAUUCGACUACUCAGCCAACAACACACACACUUACACCUAAGGUAAUCCCCCGUUUUCCUGACUCGGUACAGCAGCAGCGCCCCUACCAAUUGAAUUAGGAAAAAAAAUGCAAAUAAAAAAGAAGUUGUUAGUGCAAGAAGAAUCCAUGAAGAUGCUAUCUUUAACUUGAAACAGAAAAUAAAAAUGAUAACAGAAUCAGCAUACAUAAAUUCUGCAUUCUACAUUACUAACCAUUUACUUCCAAAAAACAAAAUCAGCAUACACUAUGCAUUCUACAUUAGAAACACUUGCAAAAAAACAAAAUCAUACACGCACACACAACCAUUUCGGACCAGAUUAGUCUAACUAUGCACAUGACAAGACGAUCUACUACUAUUCGCAUACAUUCUCUUCCUCGCUAGAACACAAAACAUAAGUACCAAAUAAUCGAGCUCAAAACACCAAGACUCGGACCUUCUUUCCUGCAAGGCUUGCUCUGCUCCCUAAACACAGCAAAAGAAGAAAGUUUUGAGCUAUAUUAAGCUGAACCCAGCUGAGUUAUCAAUUUAUUUUGAUGCAAAACGACAAUAUGUUUUGGAAUAAGAAAAUUAAGCCCAACCCAUCGAUACUGCAGAAAGACGAAUAACUCCAAAGCUACUGCAAUCUCACCUCAACAAUAGCUGGUCAUGAGCCAUAGGCAGCGAGCAACAACUAUUUCCAAAAUACCAUACGACGUCGCUCAGAGUCUGCAUAAACAACCACAUGAAUGUGAAAUUAAAGUAAGUUUAACCCUAAUAACUUAAUCUCAUACGCCACUGUUUUUCAAAGAUAUAAACACAUUAAGAUACUUUUCAAAAAUUAAGGAACAUCAAAUCUACUACCCAAUAAAUUUCACCUGUCAUUUGCAAACAUAUCAAAAUUCAAUUGUAGACUUUCAACGGAUUCACAAGCUGUAGCAUGAAAAUGUCCAGGUUUUAGAACAUAAGGAUAUGAGCAAAAGCGGAGAAACACGAAACUUGAAUCAGUCUUCUGACGCUUAUGUAGGCCAUGAAGAAACCCCCAAAAAAAUUGAUCUUUAUAUAUUAUCUACACUCUAUGCAAAGGGGAAAGUAUCAAUCCUGUUGGCACUAAAGAGAACGCAGCACCAACAAAAAUCAAGGCAAAAAUGAUGGUAAAAGUCAGCUAUAGCAUAAACAAAUAUAAUCAAAAGUUAUCAUUGAUUUACACCACUGACAAUUCAAUAAAGCUUAAUAAAUCUAUAUAACCAAUCAAGAAAAUAAAUCCAAAAGAAAGAAACAACAACUAAAUCCAAUCUGCAACACGGAGAUAAAGGUAAAUUGCGGCGAUCUCAAAACACAUUUGGAAAAAUAAUACUAAUAUUUUUAAAAAAUAAAUAAUGAAAUUAAGCUUACUUUGAACCAGAACGAAGAGUGGAAGCCACAAAUCACCAUUGAUUGGCUGUAAAACUCUCAUCAUUUGAACUAAUGAAUUUAUAGCUAAAACCUAGAUUAUUAAGUUUCCAUUGUUAAUUUGUAUCUAAAAUUGGCUGAUUAUUGAUUGAUAGGUAAAUCAUAUAAUCGUAUUACAUAAUGAUUCUUUCCAAAAUUUCUUCUUUCUAAAAUUCACACUAAUCAUUCCAUAUUCAUAAUAAUCAAAUAUAAUCUUUCCUAAUAGAAUACUUACCAUGGCUAAUCAAGAACUGUUUCGGAGCCAAGUAAUGUCCGGCGGAUUGACGGCGGUGGUGCCAGACGCAAGGCAGCCAUUGGCGGCAGCGCCGACUUGGGGGUAGGGCUGUUGCGGGAAGAGAGAGUCUGGUGUUGAAACGGGAGGAAUGGGCGGCGACACUGACUUGGGGCCGGACUGCGGCGAAUUGAAGCGAGGGAGGGAGACUCUGGUGUUGAAAUGGGGAAAGGAGAAGGGGCGGCAGCGCUGACUUGGGAGUGCGAAUCGACACGGAGGAGGGAGAGUCUGUGAAAUUAGGAUUUGAGAAUUUUGGGGGAGAAAGAACCGGUGUGGAGAUGGGAGGGGGCAGAUCGCGGCGGGGGAAGGGGACGGGGUGGUCCGGCGAAGCAGAUCGCAGCGGUGGGAGGGGCGGGCCGCGCGGUGCGGGAGUAGAGACGGGAGGGAAGGGGAUGAGAUUUGAGAAUUAGCAUAGAGAAAUU